rnacentral:lncRNA from 1 species
GAACUGGGGGUGUUGUGAUGGCGGGGGCCACGGUCUUCCGAGACCGGAGUGGGCAGACUUGCGCCCUCUGAGGACAAGGCCGAACAAGGCGAGUGGCCCAGGGUUGGAGAGCCGAGGAAUGUGGCAGUCAUCCGGCGCGGCUACGUAGGAGGAAACUGAGACCCAGACAGAAAGCACCUUGCCAGGAAGGUCCUCGAACAGGAAGGACAAAGCUGACGUCCCAAACAAGGCACGUUCUGGAACUUCUGCCUAACUACUCUGUGAUGCUGACUUCAAUUCUUCCUGAUGGAAGACCUGCAGAAGGCAGCAUGCAGAAGUUGCAAGUCCUUUCUACAACAGCAGUCUACAAAUGGAAGCCGUGGGCCUGGAUGUUAGCACAUGACCAAAAUGCUAAAAGACGACACAAAGCUGGUCUCAGAAGAUCUAAAUGUCCAGGUCAGCAGUGAAGGAAUUCUGCUCAAGUGCAGCACACAGAGGACCCAUGCCCCACUCCGGCCACGCCCUGGGCAGUCAUUAUAUAUGGGAGGCAGAUGGGAUCAGAGCAGCUCUGUCAAUAAAACUUUAAUAAUGUACAGCAGAAA